AAAAAAUGUUUUGAAGUUCAGCUGACCUUCAAAUCCUUUUGGGAAUGCGCUGUCCAAAAGUUUAACAUCCCAACCUUGGACUUGAAAGUGUUUUAUGACUCAAAGACAGAAGUUGAUGAGCAGGUUUUUGAUCUCCUGUUGAAAAACCCCAACCUUGGUGUGUUGGAAAUUUGUCUGGCCGAAGAUACAAAUCCAGAAGAUCAGCCGAGUUGUCCUGCAAAGAGCUGCAAUACCAGUUGAAGUGGAGAUACUGAAGUGGACUCAGAUGACACAAUAAUAUUACAACACAGUCCUACAACAAGACAAAGAGUUGAAGACACCUCUCUGGCCAAAGUGGUUGCUGUCAUUGGUGAGGAUGCAUCAUCCGUUGACGGUCAUGUGAAUGUCCUGCAUAUCCAGUACAGCAAGGUGCGAGAGGAUAUACUAAAGAAGUACCCUUUCUUGAAGACAACCUCAGGGUUGUUUGAUGAAGUUGACCGAAUGCAUCCAUCACCUGUCAGUUUAAGCCAGCGCUUCAAGGACGGCGUUUACCAGUAUUGUGCCAAAGGUGCUUGAGCUUGUUCAAAGAAAAGCUCCAUUAGCCAAAGUCUCCAAAGAAGCAAGAGAAGAGAUGCUUGCAGAGGAUCUACUAGGUAUUGACAUAAACGUAAUCCUUGGUAAUCUUUAGUGUGUUUUAUAGUUCUUCUUUUUAGAAUUCGUAUCAAUAUUAUCUUAUCACAUUUAUGCAUUUUAUUUA